rnacentral:ncRNA from 1 species
GAGAGCCGGAUGACGGGAAACCGUCACGUCCGGUUCGGCGGGAGGCCGCGCGGAAAAGGACCUGCCACGGCAGACCCUCGC